ACCCGCUGAACUUAAGCAUAUCAGUAAGCGGAGGAAAAGAAAACAACAGUGAUUCCCUCAGUAACUGCGAGUGAAGCGGGAAGAGCCCAACGUUGAAUCGCUUACAAGUGCCGUAUCACCAUCACGGUGGUACGUGCAUGCGAGGUUCUCGCGAGCGAGUUGUGACGUAAGGACGCAUCGCAUCGAGGCCGUGCGUGUCACCAAAGUUUUCCUGGAAAGGAGCGCCAGAGAGGGUGAUAGCCCCGUGUGAGGUGACAUGAGUGAUGUGUGAGUGCGGUCUCGCUUGUGUGUGAAAGCAUACAAGUGUGGCGGUGUGUUCCAUGAGUCGGGUUGUUUGGGAUUGCAGCCCAAAGAGGGUGGUAGACUCCACCCAAGGCUAAAUACUGGCACAAAACCGAUAGCGAACAAGUAGUGUGAACGAAAGUUGAAAAGCAUUCCGAAAGGAAGGUUAAACAGGACGUGAAACCGUUAAAGGGGAAGCGGAUGGAUGGGUCGAAUAUCUGCCAUCCCCCUGGAUCAGCGUAUUGUGUGCUUCCAAUGUGUGUGUAGGCAUGCACUACGUGUGGCUAGUGCCACGCAAGUGGUGCUAGUCAAUGCAGUGGUGAGUGGAGGAGACGAAACAGUCGUUGUGAGUACAGCCAGGACAGGUUGGGCAGCUGCUCUGUGACAUCCACCGUUUAGCUCGCUGUCCCAUCUCGUGUGAAUGUGUGGGUUGUGUUGUGGAGUGGGUGUUACCUGUGAGUGCGCAUACCAUUGGUGUGCGCACACAUUCGUGCGUGAUGCCUAUGGCUCGCUAGAAAGUUCUACUGUUGUGGUAGGGCCGAGCAGUGACCGCAAUUGGGUGACCUGGUGUUAAGCGUGCGACUCGUGCGUGCGCGUACUUAAAAGUUUCGUUUGCGAUGACUGAGAAAUUGCGCCGUUGAGGCGAUGCUGUGUGCUCCCGUACACGUUUGUGCGUGUGCAAAGAGAGUGGAGCGAUAUGCGUGCAAAGUGUGUUACAUCCCCUGGAAGUGGAAUGCUGUGCUAGUGUGUGAGCGCUAGUGUGGUAUGCCAGCGUCUGGUUGUGUUAUGCGAUUUUAUGUCGUGCCCAGAUGUGAGUGGUGGCGAUGCCUCGGUCGUGCGGGGUGGUGCAUGAGUGUGUGUGGCAGUGCAAUGUCCUUGCCUGUCAUGUGUGUUGGUGUGCUGCUGCGACCGCGGGUGAGACCUCCGGCCGGUGGUGUUGUGUGAUGGUGUAAAAAGCCGUUGUGCGACUCUCCGCGUGCAUGUCAAAGUGUGCGUUCAUCGGCUUCUAGCUGUGGGAAUGGCCCGUAAAAGGGCUGGCCUGCGAUUUGUCACCCUUCCAGAGAUCAUUGAGAGCCAUGAGUAAUAUCUGACUUGUGUGUAUGCGUCUCGUGCGUGUAUACGUGGCAUCACGCUUGCGUGUUUAAAUUAGCCAGGAUGUAAAUGUGCGUAAGACACACAGMUAAUUUUCGGCGAGACACCAAUCCAUCCGACCCGUCUUGAAACACGGACCAAGGAGCCUAACAUGUGCGCGAGUCAAAGGGUGAUUGAAACCCAGAGCAGUGCAACAUAGCGCUCGCACCGUUGUCAACUACACUGGCAACGUGUCGCGUGUGUGUGAUACAAACAGCAGCGAUGAGGCGUAAUGAAAGUAACCACCAGUAGUGGUGAUGAGAUGGGAUCUGGCCGAGGCAGUGUGUGUGUAUGCACACACGCCCGGUUGGCGCACCAUCAGCCGGUUCGCACGUAGGUGUGGGCUGAGCGAGAGCGUACAUGAUAGAACCCGAAAGAUGGUGAACUAUUCCUGGGUAGGGCGAAGCCGGAGGAAACUCCGGUGGAGGCUCGCAGCGAUUCUGACGUGCAAAUCGAUCGUCAAACCUGGGUAUAGGGGCGAAAGACUAAUCGAACCAUCUAGUAGCUGGUUCCUUCCGAAAUAUCCCUCAGGAUCGCUGAGACCUGUGCAAAAACAUUCAAGUGGUGCAUGUGAGGAGACGCCAUGUGCGUCUCCAAGAGCGUGUGUGAGAAUGUGGUAGUUUCAUCGGGUAGAGCUAAUGAUUAGAGUGAUUUGGGAGCUACUGCUCCUGGAACUAUUCUCAAACUGCCAACCGGUGAUAACUGCUGGUGAUUUCUUGUAUGUUCUCUGUUAGUGAUCACUGSUGUGUAAAAAGCAGCAGAGGUGGUACGGUCGGUGUGCAUGGUGCAAGCCAUGUGUGCCGGUYGGCUGGCAGAGAGUGGCUUCGACUGGCUAGCGAGACAGCAGCAUUGCUGUGCCAUUCAUGCGAUUGUCAGUGUGCCGUGUACGUGUGUGCCUGUCUGUGGUGGUGUUGGGGAGGGCAACCUUUCUGGUGCCAUCAUGGGCAGGUGUGCGCUGCACGGUGUGUUGGUUUUCUGCCUGGGUGGUGUGGCUUUGUUGCCAGUCGGCGGUGCGCAAUGUGCGCGUGCCAUGUGUACGCGUGUGUGGUCAGGAGGUGCGAUGAAAGCUUGCGAGGGUGUGUGUGCAAACACGGUCCUCACAGCUAGGACCUCGUGUCGCCGCGCUCGCUGGUAGCGUACGGAGCUGCGCGCAUUGAUGGAUGCGAGCAUGAAAUGAAUCACUGGCCUUGUCGGCGCGACAGUGGUAAUACACUGUAUGUAGUGCGUCGACACUGCGUUAGCACGCAGAACGUGAAUACCAGGGUCUCAAGUGGGCCGUUUCUGGUAAGCAGAACUGGCGAUGCGGGAUGAACCGAAAGCGGAGUUAAGGUGCCCAAAAAACGCUCAUGGAAACCAUGAAAGGGUGUUCAUCGGUAGAGAUAGCAAGGCUGUGGGCAUGGAAGUCGUCAUCAGCUAAGAAGCGUGUCGCAACGUACUUGUUGACCACCGGUGUGCCCCGAAAAUGGAUGGCGCUAAGCGUUUUACCGAUACUCUGCCGUCGAUGUGAGAAAUGAUUGUGUGAUCGACGGUAGAAGCCGCGACGGUUUUGCAGUCUGCUGCUGCAGCAUGUGCCGUGUUUUCUGUGCGCUUAUUGUGGCSCGCAGCGCGGUGUGUGCCUGUAGCCUGAUUCGAAUGGAUGAUGCUCGGUGGUGGCACAAGUUGCCGGCCAGGUUUGUGSSCAUUUCCACGCGGAGAAGGAUUGAGACGUAAGUCUAUCCGGAGCAGCCGUCGGUGCAGAUCUUGGUGGUAGUAGCAACUAUUCGAAUGAGAACUUUGAAGGCCGAGGUGGAGACGGGUUCCACGUGAACAGCAUUUGGACGUGGGUUAGUCGGUCCUAAGCAGUCGCCUAACAGCAUGGUUCAGGCAAAGGGGAGCGGACCGUACACGCGAGUUCACUCUCAAGGCUGCGAAAGGGAAUCAGGUUAAUAUUCCUGAACCAAGUGGCGUGUGAGUGGUGYUGGCCAUGACGGUCACAGGUGUGCUAUGUGUGUGCCUGUCUGUUGUGGUUGGUGCCACUCAAUUGGACGGAAAUGCUCACAGGAGGCUGGGUGUGUGUGUGCGCUAUGUGCGUGUGUGCAUGCUCGGUUUACGCGUGUGUCUGGGAGUUCUAGGGGUGUUGUGUUGCCGGUCACAAUGGUGUGUGGUUGUGCGCUAUGCGCGUGCAGCCGUGUGCCGUGUCCGGACCAGUGUUCCUACCCAGAGUGACGCUCUUCUGUAGGGCUUGGCGGUAACGCAAGCAAACUCGGAGACACCCUUCGUGGCCCUGGAAAGAGUUAUCUUUUCUUGUUAACAGGCCAAGUGAUACGCCCCGGAAAAGAGUCAGUCUGAGAUGGGGCUCUGGGCCUGGAAGAGCAUCGCAGUUUCAGCGGUGUCCGGUGUGCCACGGUGUUAAGGGUCCUUGAAAAUCCGAGGGCGCAGUUCGCGUGUCUGCAUCACACUCGUUGUGGUGUGGGUGCGUGUGUCAAAUUUCGCACUUGUCCGUACCGAAUCCGCAUCAGGUCUCCAAGGUGAACAGCCUCUGGCGUUGAACAUGUAGGUAGGAAGUCGGCAAAUCGAUCCGUAACUUCGGACAGGAUGGCUCUAAGGUUGAGUCACCUGGGCCGCGCUUGUGUGUGUGCCAGCUAUGUGCUGGUGUGCGCGCAGUUUUCAUGCUACUGUUGCAUGUCGAAUGGAUGCAGGCCUGUGAGCUGGCAGCGCUCGCGCGAUGUCAGUUCGGUUUCUGGUAAAACAGGGACAAGCAGGUGUCAAACUGUGUUCCGUCUCGCAUGUUGGUGGUGUACGCGGUUGGAGUCCAAUGUGCCGGUGGGGCCUUCACCGGCUCCCUCGGUGUGUGGGGCUGCCCCGAUGGAUGCAUGUGCGUGUGAGCGUACUUGAGACCGUCGAUUCGUUCUAACCGGACGUUUGGGUGCCAGUAGUGUGUGGCUGUUUAGCUCGGUCGCUGCAGAUUAUUGUGUGCGCACAGUGUCCUCACUGUCGCGUGUGCGCUGUGCGAUCGGCCAGUCAGGCGACUUGUCGCGUAUCGCUGCUGGUGUUCGGCGGGUGACGAAUGAACAACCAACUUAGAACUGUCACUGACUCGGGGAAUCCGACUGUUUAAUUAAAACAAAGCAUUGCGAUGGCUGGAAACGGUGUUGAUGCAAUGUGAUUUCUGCCCAGUGCUCUGAAUGUCAAAGUGCGGAAACGCAACAAAGCGCGGGUAAACGGCAGGAGGUACUAUGACUCUGUGAAGUAGCCCAAUGCCUCGUCAUCUAAUUAGUGACGCGCACGAAUGGAUCAAUGAGAUUCCACUGUCCCUACCUACCAUUCAGCGAACCACAGUCAAGGGAACGGGCUUGACUGAGACAGCGGGGAAAGAAGACCUGUUGAGCUUGACUCUAGUUUGACUUUGUGAAAAGACACCGGAGGUGUAGCAUAGGUGGGAGGUGUGUGAUGUGGCAACACAUGUGCGCAUCGAUCGUGAAAUACCACCACUCUGGUCGUUUUCUUACUGACUCGGUGAUGCAGGAAGGAUCACCUCUACGCAACUGGUGCAUGCCGCGUAUUCACACCGGGUUUGCGUGCCUUCCUGUUGGCACCACAGCUUGCUGUGGCGUCCAGCGGGGAGCACCUCCUGGAUCAUGUGGUGCGUGCAGUGUGUGCCGGUGUAGAGUGCUGGUUCGUUGCUUUGUCUUAAAGGCUGAUUGUGUGUGUGCCAGCUAUGUGUUGGUGCGUGUACAGUUGUGCUGACCUGUGAGCGUGUUCUCGGUCCAGGUUCAUCUGUAGCCUGGCGAGGACACGUUCCUUGACAGCGCAGGGGUGCGCCUGGUUCGGACGGAGUACACGGUGGGUGGUGCUUGUGGCAGUUCGCUGUCGCAGGUGUUGCUUGCUGUUGCUCUCGUUCGGUUGGGUUGCUCUCCUCUGCGAUGAUUUGCCGAGGACAGAGUCAGAUGGGGAGUUUGACUGGGGCGGUACAUCCUUUAUAAUACAACGAGGAUGUCCUAAGGCGAGCUCACCGUGGACAGGAACCACGGGUAGAACAUAAGGGUAAAAGCUCGCUUGAUUCACAUUCUCAGUAUGAAUGCGAACCGCGAAAGCGUGGCCUAACGAUCCUUUAAAAUAAUACACCUGAGAGUUUCAGGUUAGAGGUGUCAGAAAAGUUACCACAGGGAUAACUGGCUUGUGGCAGCCAAGCGUACAUAGCGACGUUGCCGUUUGAUCCUUCGAUGUCGGCUCUUCCUAUCAUUGGAUGCAGAAGGUCCAAAGUG
rnacentral:rRNA from 1 species